UGACGCUGAAGCACUAAGGCCAGGGGAGCGAAGGGGAUUAGAUACCCCCGUAGUCCUGGCUUCAAACGAUGUGGGCUUGGUGUCGGCCCCCUACAGAGGGUCGUUGCCGGAGCUAACGUGUUAAGCCCACCGCCUGGGGAUUACGUCCGCAAGGAUGAAACUCAAGGGAAUUGACGGGGGCCCACACAACCGGUGGAGCACGUGGUUUAAUUCGAUGAUAAGCGAAGAACCUUACCAGGGCUUGACCUAGCGGUAGUAGGAUCCUGAAAGGGAAACGACCUCAAGCUUUGCUUGAGGAGCCGUGGCAGGUAUUGCAUGGCUGUCGUCAGCUCGUGUCGUGGGACGUUGGGUUAAGUCCCGUAACGAGCGCAACCCCUGCUCUUAAUUGCCAGCGGGUAAUGCCGGGUACUAUAAGGGGACUGCCGGAGAAUAUCCGGAGGAAGGAGGGGAUGACGUCAAGUCAUUAUGAUCCUUAUGCUCUGGGCGACACACGUGCUACAAUGGGCACUACAAUGAGGAGCAAGUCUGCAAGGACGAGCAAAUCUCAAAAAGGUGCCCCCAGUGCGGAUUGGGGUCUGCAACCCGACCCCAUGAAGAUGGAAUCGGUAGUAAUCGCGGGUCAGCCAUACCGCGGUGAAUAUGUACUUGGGCCUUGUACACACCGCCCGUCACACCAAUCGAGUAGGCGACACCCGAAGUCGACGUAUGUUGCCGAA
rnacentral:rRNA from 1 species